GUUUUAUUUAAAAAAUACAUUAGAUGCAUCAGAUUAUAUAUAUAUAUAUAUACACACACACACACACACACAUAUAUAUAUACAUUCAUGUAUAUAUAGAUACACACACACACAUGUGGAGUAAGUGUAUAUGAUUGAUGGUUAUGUUUAAAAUUUAGAACCAAUUUAGAACCUUGCCAAAAAAACAAAAAAGAUUUUAAUGCAGCUUUAUUUUAAAAAGAAUGUCUUGCUGCCUCAUGGCUCCAGGGUCUCUGGUUCGAACCUGAGCUUGUGUUAAUGUCAGUGUGAUCUUUGGCAUAUAAUCUCUGGGUUUCCUCCAGGUUCUCUGGUUGCCUUCCCAACUCAUAAAAAAACCUAUGCGAAGGUGAAAAUGAAAGUGUGUAUGAUACCCUGUAAUGAACUGACACAUCAUCCUGGAUGUACUCCCAUCUUAGACCCAGUACAAAGCACAGACUCAGGAUGCACUUCGACACUGACCAGGAUAAAGCGCUUACUGAAGAUGAAUGAAUGAUAUAGUACAAUAUAUUUGGUAAUGAUAUGAUCCUGAGUGCGGUUUUAUUUUUGCCUUCAUUUAGAAUAUACACUGGUGUGGUUGUACGGACCUGGCAACCCUGAGCAGAAAGUUCAACACUGAGUUGCCGAAACUUAAUCUUCUGUCCUAACUCCUAGUCUAUUCGAACUGUCUGUUCUUCAGUAUCGGAGUCACGUUCUGGUUGUUGCGUGUCUUUUUGUCCAGUGCAGAAAUGUAGUCAAAGGGCAGGGCAAAUAAAAUGAAAGGAUGUGAUCAAAACCAGCAAACAGGGUAAACACAGGCAUGUGUUUACACUGAAGACAGGGUGGAGUCAUCCCAGGGGAGUGUGUAUAUGUGUGCUGGAGCAUCCUACCAUAAACUUAUCUGAACUACUAACACUUAUUUGUAUGUGUAAGUUUAGAUGUGGUUAUAUAAAUGCCAGUGAAAGCACAUUAAUCAGAAUAAGAGAAACAAUUCAGCUUUAUCGGAAAAAAAAAUAUCAAAUAUCACAUGUACAGCUUAUUCCGAUUAGAUUCCUUUAGUGCAUAUAUGAGCAAAUCUGUCGAGACUGAAAUAGUUCUCAUCUUACUCAAUUUUGGUUUUAUAAGCCACCAAGACAGCAUAGUACUCUCUAUGAGUGCAUAGAAAUUAAUUAUUAAUUAAAUUAAAGUAAACUUAAAAAAAAAAAAAUGUACAGAACUACCACAGAAGUCCAAAAGGCACACAAUCAAAGAUCAAUGUUUAUAUUAAUAUAUAUAUAUAUAUAUAUAUAUAUAUAUAUAUAUAUAUAUAUAUAUAUAUAUAAACCACACACAUUUUGUGAGUAUUUCAUGAUGUACAUGCACUAGAUAUUUUAAAAGUCAUGGAGAUGGUUCAUAGCAUAAAUGUUACAACACUCUCUAAUCAUGUUACGCAGUAAUUCAUUAAUAAAAAGACCAUGCUGAUUUAGAAACAAACAUGAAUGAAAGUUCAUGCUGCAUCUUUGGGCUGUAAAAGAUAUCCAGGAAUCCACCAACACGAUCCCUGUGUGAAGAAAAAAAAGAAAGAAAGCCAGACAUCAUUUUCUACACCGUUUUAUUUUGAGCAUUCCGACCAGCACACUGAAGAAGGCGAAGAAACAUGUUACUCUAGCAAUCCUACAAAACUAAAUAUAACCCCAAAACCACAUGCUUUUUCACAAAAGGCAAACUUACAGUUCCUCUGGUCAAGAGCAGAAGUCUUACCACUUCCUGAGUCUAAAACCAGGCUUGGUUGUUGCAAACCCUCAUUUGCCUUUUCAUCUCUCCACUCCUAUCUAUCCCAUAAGCUCAUUACAAAGAACGAGAACACACAGCACACAGCUUGCAUGUUCCAUGAUGAGCCAUUGCUCAUAGAUGCCACUCCUGCAAUUUUUUUUUUUAAUCCCCUCAUAUCUCCUUCACCAUGACUCCAUGACUCCAUUUUCCUGUUGAUGCAGUGCACGGAAAUCACGCAGCAACACUGCGGAGAGCUGACCGGAUACGUGUCCAACACUCAGGGAUAAAAAUACCCCACAUGUGCGCGCGCGUGUGUGUGUGGUGUCUGAGACAUUCACGGUUCAAAAAAGGAUAAUCACACAGUGGUGAGCAUAGUUAGAAAUGCCCUGAGAUGGGGAUAUCUCAGACAGUGAGAGACGGAGUCAACUCCAGAACUAUUGGCACCCCUUAUGAAAACUGACUAUAUGAAAAAAUGAAAAAUAAUACCCAACAAUUGAUAUAUGGUUAAGACAAGGAUAGGUGAGGUUCUAAUAUUGGGGUCACUUGGAGAAGACCUUCAAACAAGUUUUAACCACAUGGCAGAGGCAACCAAGGUUUGGGCUAAAAACAUAUAUAUAUGUAUAUAUACUACCAGCUGCCCCAAAGAAUCAACAAUCCUAUGAAAUAUUUCACACUGGUUUGGGGGCUUAUCCUUGUAUGAUGGACACAUUUUCCACCAACCAUUCUGAUGGUGUUCAAGGGCAAAAAAGCUUGAUUCAGGUCUCACCUGAGCGCAACACAUGAUUCCAGUUGUAGUUACAAUCUCUCUUGGUAAAGUUCUGGUGCUGCUUUUCAUGGCCUACUCUCAGAAAGGGCUUCUUGUGUGUAAACUUUCCAAACAGCUUGGCAUGAAGGUGCUGUAUAAUAGUUCAUGUCAUCUUUUUAUGUUAGCCCAGAUUACAGGUUAACAAAUACGUCUCUCUUAGUCUUGAAAAGUUUUUCCGAAAGAGUUCGGUCACGAUCAGCAAAACCUUUUUACACGUCUGCGACUUUAUUUGUACCUCAUGGAAACAGAAAAUGGGGAGAAAGCAAGCGGAGACCAUGAGCAAUAAUAAAAAAAAAUUAUAGGGAGUAAGUAUUCAUUAGAGGUGCAAAUCAUUUUGGCAUACAUGUCUCUGAGGAAAAUUGGUACAACCCCAGUUCCAAAAUAGUUGGGAAGCUGUGCAAAAUGUAAAUAAAAACAGAAUGCAAUGAUUUGCAAAUCUCAUAAACACAUAUGUUAUUCACAAUAGAACAGAGAAAACAUAUCAAAUGUUUAAACUGAGGAAAUGUAACAUUUUGAGGAAAAAAAUCAUGUAAUUUUGAAUUUGAUGGCCACAUUUUGCAACUAAUUACGGUAAUAGGCAACAGGCCAGUAACAUGAUUGGGUAUAAAAAGAGAGAGGCAGAGUCUCAGAAGUAAAGAUGGGCAGAGGUUCACCAAUCUUCGAAAAACUGUGGCAACUGUGGAACAAUUUCAGAAUAAUGUUCCUCAAUUUAAAUCUCAUCAUCUACAGUACAUAAUAGCAUGAAAAGAUUCGGAGAAUCUGGAGAAAUCUCUGUGCGCAAAGGAGAAGGGUGAAAAUGAAUAUCGCAUGAUCUUCAGGUCCUCAGGCGGCACUGCGUUAAAAACAGGCCUGAUUCUGUAAUGGAAAUCACUGCAUGGGCUCAGAAACACCUCCAGAACUCAUUGUCUGUGAACACAGUUUGCCGUGCCAUGCACAAAUAAGCCAUGUGUGAACAUGAUCCAGAAACGCCGCCGUCUUUCCUGGGCCAAAGCUCAUUUAAAAUGGACUGAGGCGAAGUGGAAAAAUUCUGUCAGAUAAAUCGACAUUUGAAAUUCUUUUUGGAAACCAUGGACACCGCGUCUAAACUACAGAAAACUAAAGAGAGGAGAGGGACCAUCCGGCUUUUUAUCAGCACUCAGUUCAAAAGCCUGCAUCUCUGAUGGUAUGGGGGUGCAUUAGUGCCUACAGAAUUGUCAGCUUGCACAUCUGGAAAGGUGACAUCAAUGCUGACAGAUAUAUACAGGUUUUAGAGCAACAUCUGCACCCAUCCAGAUUCCAUCCCAUUUUUACUUCUGAGAGACUUCUACCUCUCUAAGAUGCUCUUUUUAUACCCAAUCAUCUUACUGACCUGUUCCCAAUUAACCUAAUCAGUUGCAAAAUGUUCCUCCAGCUGUUUCUUUUUCAUAACACUUACCUUUCCAGCCUUUUGUUGCCCCGUCCCAACUUUUCUGAGACACGUUGCUGCCACCAAAUUCAACAUUUUUUCCUCAGUCGAAACGUUUGAUAUGUUUUCUAUGUUCUAUUGUGAAUAACAUACGGGUUUAUGAGAUUUGCAAAUCAUUGCAUUCUGUUUUUAUUUACAUUUUACACAGC
ensembl:lncRNA